CAUGUCACGAAACCCACCCACCUUUACAAAUCCAACUCAACUUCCAACAGUUUAGCCCUCUUUAAGAAGUCCAACCUUUCGCCGUUCUAUUUUCAUCUCCUCUUUCCUGCCGGAAAAAUCCCAAAUAUUUGUUGAAUUCACCGCUGCCAUAGUUUGACCGAUCUCAUACGUUUUAGCAGUCAUGAAUCCAGAAUACGAUUAUCUUUUCAAGCUUUUGCUUAUUGGAGACUCUGGUGUUGGCAAAUCAUGUCUCCUUCUUAGAUUUGCUAAAAGAAAACAGCCUCUCUGCCCCUCGGGGUAGAGGUAAGGUCUGCGUACAUAUUACCCUCCCCAGACCCCACUUGUGGGAUUACACUGGGUUGUUGUUGUUGUUGUUGUUGUUGUUUCUGUUUUCCAGGAUGAUUCAUAUCUUGAAAGUUACAUUAGCACCAUUGGCGUGGACUUUAAAAUACGCACAGUGGAACAGGAUGGGAAAACCAUAAAACUUCAAAUUUGGGACACCGCUGGUCAAGAACGUUUUAGGACAAUCACCAGCAGUUACUAUCGUGGGGCUCAUGGCAUAAUUGUGGUUUAUGAUGUGACUGAUCAAGAGAGCUUUAAUAAUGUCAAGCAAUGGUUGAGUGAAAUUGAUCGAUAUGCGAGUGAUAAUGUAAACAAGCUUCUUGUGGGAAACAAGUGUGACCUCACAGCGCAAAAGGUAGUUGCCACUGAAACAGCUCAGACUUUCGCUGAUGAAAUUGGUAUUCCUUUUAUGGAAACAAGUGCAAAAAGUGCGACCAAUGUGGAGCAGGCUUUCAUGGCCAUGGCUGCUUCAAUCAAGGACAGGAUGGCCACCCAACCCGCAGCGAACAAUGCUCGGCCUCCAACUGUGCAGAUCCGUGGACAACCUGUCAACCAAAAGAGCGGUUGCUGCUCAACUUGAAAGGAAUUAGGACGAUGAUGCUUCUGAUGUGGCAUGUAAAAUUAGUCCCUCAGUAGUUUGAUGUGAAGAUACUACUAUAUUUUUUCAGCCUUUUGCCAAAAAUCCAUUCUUUAAGCAAAAUUUGUACAAAAGCUAGGAAUAUUGGUGGAAUUAAUAGUGUUUGCUUUCAUUCCAUACUUUGAACCUUCAUCUGAAUGAUUUAAUCAAUCGUCCAAGUCUUUACUGUCGUA